AUAGUAAGAAUUGAUUUAUCAAUAUUGAUUUCGACUCAAUUUUAGGUGUGUAGCCCUUAUUAUU
rnacentral:tRNA from 1 species